GGUAAGAAGUACAUUUGCCCUGCCACAAACACUCAGAGGAUUUUUGUGACUGGGGACCCCCAAAGAUUUACAUCAUCACUAAUUACUAUUUAUACCUGGGCUCAGAGUCUGACUUGGUUCAGGGCAAACCCAGCAAGGAUGGUAACAAGGACUUAGGAUGUUCGGGGCCAUUUUCUGUCAUUUAACCUACCAGGGUUUAUACUUGGGUUUUGGGUCUAGAAGGGGAGGCUCUGUGUGCCCUGGGAAGCCUGAGUGCUCUGCACCGUGUACCACUGAUGUUCACUGACUCCCAAGUGAGGACCCUGACAGAGGACAGACAGCCGCUGAGGGUGAUGGGGUGGUGUUCUACUCUGACUUCAGCGUUCCUCAUGGGUGCCUCCAGCAGCUGAGUUCAGGGGGCUCUGCGGUCACAGCAUUCUGCACAUAGUCCGAGGGGUUUUCUCUCUGUCCGGUCUGUGAUUGACAGUGUCCUCCUGCGUCUGGAGAUGAGUGCCGUGAGUACCUUUUGAAAGGUCUAAGGCAGUGGUUCUCAACCUUCCUUUAACACGGUUCCUCGUGUUGUGGUGACCCCAGCCAAAAAAUUAUUCCGUUGCUACUUCAGUAAUUUUGCUACUGUUAUGAAUUGUAAGGUAAAUAUAUGUGUUUUUCGAUGGCCAUGAGGCGACCCCUGUGAAAGGGUUAUUUGAAACCACCACCCCCAGCCCCGCCAAAGUGGGGUCAUCACCUGCAGGUUGAGAACUGCUGGUCUAUGUGUAGUGUUUGUGUAUGCACUUGUGUUCAGAUGAAUUGGUCAGAGGAUGACUUUGAGUAUCAUUUAUACUUUGCCUUUUUGUUUUUUUAUUGUUAUUUUUGUUUUUUUUCCUUCUGCAGCAAAGCGUUUAUUGCAUCUUGAAGAGGAGAGCUAUUUUUGUUUUAAGAUUAUUUUUUUUACUAGUUUUUAGAAUUAUGUGUAUAUGUGCUUGUGCGCAUGCGCAUGUGUGCAGGAAGUGAGGCUACCUGUGAAAUUCAGACGAGAACCUUGGAUCCUGGAGCCGGAGUUAGAGGCGAUUGUGAGCCUCCUUAAUUUGGAUACUGGAAACGGAACUCAGGUCCUCUGCAGCAACAGCUGCUGAGUGGCUUUAGCUGCGGAAGCUCUCUACCGUAUGUUUUGCGGCAGGCUCUCACUGACUCUGGAGCUCACAUUUCAGCUCGGCUGCGUGGCCAGGGAGCCCUGACCUUUGCUGGCAUUGCCGACACAGUUGACACAGUUGUUAUGUAUGCCUGGCUUUUGUGUGGGUGUUGGGGAUCUAAACCCAGGACCUCCUGCUUGUGCUUCCAACAUUUUCCCUCAUGGAGCCAUCUCUCCAGCCCUUCGAAUAUCCACCGGUUUAGAGCGGGUCCCGAUGGAGAAGCCUGAUUCCUGUGGAGGAGGGAGGAAAUAAAGAAGAAAGGAAAGGAGAUGGCUGGGGAGCCAAGGUUGCAAUUACAGUUCUCGUGGAGAAAGAACACAGCCCUUUGAGGUUAUACCCAGCGCCAAGGACCCAGCUACACACUGCUCAGCUAAUUAAAACCAGGAUGAUGGAGGUCAGAAUCAAGGCCCAAAGUGGGCUCAAGGGGCUGGUAAAAGGUAAAAUUGGGAGUGAGUGCUGAGCUGUAGCCUCACUCUCAGGGUCUUACAAAACGGGGUCUGGUGUGAGCACUGUGCAGCCUGUGGGCUGAGUGUGAACACUGUGCAGCCUGUGGGCUGAGUGUGAGCACUGUGCAGCCUGUGGGCUGAGUGUGAACACUGUGCAGCCUGUGGGAGGAGUGUGAGCACUGUGCAGCCUGUGGGAGGAGUGUGAGCACUGUGCAGCUUCUGGGCCGAAUGUGAGCACUGUGCAGCCUGUGGGCAGAGUGUGAGCACUGUGCAGCCUGUGGGCAGAGUAUGAGCACUGUGCAGCCUGUGGGAGGAGUGUGAACACUGUGAAGCCUGUGGGCAGAGUAUGAGCACCGUGCAGCCUGUGGGCAGAGUAUGAGGACUGUGCAACCUCUGGGCCAUGUGGGAGCACCGUGCAGCCUGUGGGAGGAGUGUGAGCACUGUGCAGCCUGUGGGCAGAGUGUGAGCACUGUGCAACCUGUGGGCGGAGUGUGAGCACUGUGCAGCCUGUGGGCAGAGUGUGAGCACUGUGCAGCCUGUGGGCAGAGUGUGAGCACUGUGCAACCUGUGGGCGGAGUGUGAGCACUGUGCAGCCUGUGGGUGGAGUGUGAGCACUGUGCAGCCUGUGGGCGGAGUGUGAGCACUGUGCAGCCUGUGGGCAGAGUGUGAGCACUGUGCAACCUGUGGGCGGAGUGUGAGCACUGUGCAGCCUCUGGGCAGAGUGUGAGCACUGUGCAGCCUGUGGGAGGAGUGUGAGCACUGUGCAGCCUGUGGGCGGAGUGUGAGCAUUCUGCUGUCUGUUGGCUGUACAUAGCUAAGGAUAGCUAUGGACAUAAUUCAUCGCUGUCAUAAACCUACUUAAAGCACCAUUAAGAGAUUUGUAUGUGGGGGGGGGAUGGACUCAACUGUAAGUUCUUGAGUGGAAACUGUGUGGAUUACUGUCAUGGAGUAACAUCAAAAGAUUUGACAGGUGUUUAUGGCUUAGGCCUUCCCAGGAAUUGAUCAUUUUUUUUUACCAUGGUCUCACGUAGCUCAGGCUGGCUUUACUUUCCUUUGUAGUCAAGAACCAUCUUUAAUAGAAUCUCUUGCCUCUGUGAACGCUGGGUGUGAUGGUUAGUUUAAUUGUCUACUCAACACAGUCUAGUCUCCUGAGAAGAGCUCAAUAAGGGAGUGUCUGGAUCACUUUGGUUUGUGUGUGUGUGUGUGUGGUUGUUGGUGUGUGUGUGUGUUUUUGUGUGUGUGUUUGUGUGGUUGUGGUUAUCGGUGCGUGUGUGUGUGGUUAUUUGUGUGUGGUUGUUGGUGUGUUUGUGGUUGUCAGUGUGUGUGUGUGUAGUUGUCUUCAUUGCAUUAACUGGUGUGGGAAAGACCCAGCCUCAAAGCAGUAGACGGGGGUGGGUGGGAGUGGGGAACCAUUUUCUGACUUGGAGGCCAGGGCUGUAUAGAAUAGAGAAAGCUGGCUGAGUCUCAUGCAAGCAGGCACCAGCUUCUCUCUGCUCUUGACAUAGCAGUGAUGAGCUGUGUCUAGCCCUGCCCUGUGGUGUUGCUAUGAUGAUGGACUGUGACCUUGGAUUGUAAGCUAAAACAAACUCCUUUCCCUUAUGUUUCUUCUUUUUGUCAGGGUAUUUUAUCACAAUAACAGAAAUGAAACGCAGGGUGUGCCACCUACUAGGCCCUUUCACUUUGUUGAUGAUGUCGAACCCCCAGGGAUCUUCCUGCCUCUGCUUCCUGCUCCCUGGGAUGAAAGUUGUGUGCCCACAUCCAGCUGUCCUCCUUUCUUUGUUUCUUUGUUUCUUCAAUUCUUUCUUUGUUUCUUUCUUUGUUUCUUUUUUCUUUACUUCUUUUUUCUUUCUUUCUCUCUGUAGUCCAGUCUGUCCUGAAACUCACUAUGUAGCCCAGGCUAGCCUCAAAGUCACAGCCAUCCUCCUGCUUCAGCUCCUCAAGUGCUGGGACUAUAGAAGUGAGUCACCGUGUCCAGCUCACACAUACUGCUGAAGGUAGUUUGUACAUCUAUUUUCCUUUAAAGAACACACCUGUCCUUAGUUACAGGCCCUGCCCUCUCAUCUUACAGACAAGGGAGGUAAUUGGCUGAGAACAUGUUGCUAAGUCAAGGAUCCCUUGGUUCUCAACCCAUAACUAGGAAAACUGGUCUGAAAGCCCCAUCUUGUACCCACUGCACAUCACCAGCUUCUGAUGUCUGCUGCCUUAGGAUUGGUGGCUGUUUCCAUCAACAUCAGUGAUGAAAUGACCCAUAACCUAGCAUCACGUGGGUUGGAGACAGGAGGCUUACGGGAAUGGCUGGCCUCUAGCUCAGCUCCAGGUUCAGUGAGAAACCCCCAACUCAAGGGAAUAUGGUGUGGUAGAGCGGGUUUGCUGGCUGACUUUGUCACCUUAACAUAAACCAGUGUCGCCUUUCAAAAGGGAACCUCAGUUGAUAAAAUGGCCCCACUAGACUGGCCUGGGGUGUACAUUCUUGAUUGAUGAUUGAUGUGGAAGAGACCAGCUCACUGUAUGCCAGCAGUCAUCAACCUUCCUGAUGUUGCAAACCUUUAAUACAGUUCCUCAUGUAACAUGAAAUUGUUUUCAUUGCCACUUCAUAAUUUCAAUUUUGCUACUGUUAUGAAUUGUAAUGUAAAUAUCUGUGUUUUCCUGUGAAGGGGUCACGAGCCACAGGUUGAGAACUAUUGUUGUAGGCUGUGUACUUCUGGGCAUGUGGCUCUGGGUUGUAUAAGAAAACAGGUUGAGCAAGCUAUGGGGAGCAAGCCAGUAAGCAGCCCCCUCCACAUUCUCUGCAUCAGCUCCUGCCUUCAGGGUCCUACCCCACUUCGGUUCUGCCCAGACUUCCUCAGUCGAUUGACCUGUAAGUAUAAGAUAAAAUAACCCUUCCUCCCUAAGUUGUUUGGUCAUGGUAUUUUAUCACAGCAACAGAAACCCUAAGACAGCAGAACACCUGACAUCUUCCUCUGGCCACUAAGUGUGCACUGGCACAUGUUCUUCCCCAUACAUGUGUGCAUGUAACACAUGCACGAAUGUACUCACACACAUACACACAUGCAUGCAUGCAGGCACAUGCACACACUAAGACCAUAAAGAGUUAUUUUCGGACUGAUCCCUCCUCAUAGAUAUGUAGUAAAAACAAGGCAUUCAACAUUAAGUGCUUUUUGAAUAUAAUAUUUUUUAUUAUUUAUUUGAACAUUUCAUAUAUGCAUACAGCCAUGUUUGUAAUGAUAUAAAAUUAUAAUGUGAGGGUCAUAUUUUUAAAAAAUUACAAAACCGGGGGCUGGAGAGAUGGCUCAGCGGUUAAGAGCACCCGACUGCUCUUCCAGAGGUCAUGAGUUCAAUUCCCAGCAACCACAUGGUGGCUCACAACCAUCUGUAAAGAGAUCUGAUGCCCUCUUCUGGUGUAUCUGAAGACAGCUACAGUGUACUUAUAUAUAAUAAAUGAAUAAAUCUUUAAAAAAAAAUUACAAAACCAAAGAUCCUUUUGGGUCAUCAACAAUGUUUUUAAAUAUCAUUGCAUAAAUCACUUUUCUCCUGUUGCUCUGACAAAAAUGAUUUAAGAAAUGAAUGUUUGCCUGAAGUUCGCCUUUAAAAUCCCAGCACCCAGGAGACUGAAGUGGGUGGAUCUCUAUGAAUUUAAGGCCAGCCUCAUCUACAGAGUGAGUUCCAGGCUAGCUGAAGCUACAAAGUAAGAUCCUACCUCAAAAACAAACAAACAACAACAAACAAAAACAACAAAACAAAAGAAGGAAGGAUUUUUUUUGGCUCAUGGUUUAGGACUGUAGCCCAUUACCCUGGGAAGCCCUGGUAACAGGAGCACAAAGCCACCAUCAUGGCCACCACACCAUCAUACCAUCAUGCCAUCACACCAUUACAGCCAUCAUACUAUUACACCAUCAUACCAUUAUGUCAUUACACCAUUGUGCCAUCACAGCUAUCACACUAUCACAGCCAUCACACUUUCAGAGCCAUCACACCAUCACACCAACAUGCCAUCACACCUUCAUAACCAUCACAGCUAUCACGCUGUCACACCAUCAUGGCCAUCACACCAUCACACCAUCAUAGCCAUAACCCCUUCACACUGUCACAGCGAUCACACCAUCACUCACAGCUAUCACACCAUCACGCCAUCACACUAUCACACCAUUAUACCACCAUGCCAUCACACCUUCACAGCCAUCACACCUUCACAGCCAUCACACCUUUACAGCCAUCACACCAUUACACCAUCAUACCAUCAUGUCAUUACACCAUCAUGCCAUCACAGCCAUCACACUAUCACGGCCAUCACACCAUCACAGCCAUCACACCUUUACUGCCAUCACACCAUUACACCAUCAUACCAUCAUGUCAUUACACCAUCAUGACAUCAUAGUCAUCACACUUUCAGAGCCAUCACGCCAUCACAGCCAUCAUACCAUCACAGCUAUCACACCAUGACACCAUCACACUAUCACACCAUUAUACCAUCAUACCAUCACGCCUUCACAGCCAUCACAGCCAUCACAGCCAUCAAGGCCAUCACACCAGUCACACCGGUCACAGCCAUCAUGAUAUAAGUGCUCUCAGCUCACUUUCUCCUUUGCAGUCAGCCCAGGACCCUGUGGGAGGUGCCACCCUUGUCCAGGGUGGGCCUCUCCCCCUCAGUCAAUCCUCCCUGGAAGCAUCAGCACAGACCGGAGGCAAGAUCCUGAAUCUUGUGAUCCUGAAUCCAAUCGGGCUGACAAUCAAGAUUAAGCUGUGCACUACUCAAGAGAAAUUCAAAGGUACAGGAACCCAAAUGCAGGCCUGGGGGACAGAGCGAGCAAGCACAGCAAGGCCAGCGUAAAGAUGUGACUAUGUCACUCUGUGGCUACCGGAGGCCAUGAAUGAUUUAAGAGCAACAUUGAGGGGCUGGAGAGAUGGCUCAGUGGUUAAGAGCACCCGACUGCUCUUCCAGAGGUCCUGAGUUCAAUUCCCAGCAACCACAUGGUGGCUCACAACCAUCUGUAAAGAGAUCCGAUCCCCUCUUCUGGUGUGUCUGAAGACAGCUACAGUGUACUCAUAUAUAAUAAAUGAAUAAAUCUUUAAAAAAAAAAAAA